CACUCCGGUCACUCGGCAGUACAUACCAGGUGUCACACCACUGCCCGGCAGGUGACAACGCUGAAUUGGUCCUCAGGAGCGAAUUGGUCCUCAGGAGCGGAUGUUCAAGGAACCCUGCCUAUGCACCAUGCUAGCUGCCAGUCCUAGGUUGGGACAUUCCACUGGGGACAUCCAUGGGAGAGCUAUGGCCAUUAACAAGUCCUGAGCCCUGACCUGAAGCCAUCAGUGGCCUAGAUGGAGGAACUAUGCUAGAAGGUGUGCCAAGGCCACUGACUGAGAGGGACACAGCUGCUCUACCUGACUUUGUGGCCUCCCUUCCUGGAUCUCUCGCUUACGACAACCGACAACAAAGAUGUUUGACUCCAGAAGAUGCUCCCCGCGGCCCACCUGAGAGGACUGUCCACACCCCACCCCACUGCGCCCUGUGCCAUCUACCUCUGAGUCCCCAACUUCUCACCCAUGUUUCAACUCCCACCCCAGAGCCUUGUAUUCCAGAUCUGAGCAGCCCUUGCUUAGGAACCUGAGGUGGGGGGUGGGUAGGCAGACCCAGGGGACUGAGCAGGGAGGGGAAGGAGGGGUUUCUGCUCUUGGCUUUCAAAGUUCUCAGUGUGUGUAGCCCUUUGAAUAAUAAACAUAUGUCAUAUAAUGUAAA
ensembl:lincRNA Mirg miRNA containing gene